GACGAACGCUGGCGGCGUGCUUAACACAUGCAAGUCGAACGGAAAGGCCCUGCUUUUGUGGGGUGCUCGAGUGGCGAACGGGUGAGUAACACGUGAGUAACCUGCCCUUGACUUUGGGAUAACUUCAGGAAACUGGGGCUAAUACCGGAUAGGAGCUCCUGCUGCAUGGUGGGGGUUGGAAAGUUUCGGCGGUUGGGGAUGGACUCGCGGCUUAUCAGCUUGUUGGUGGGGUAGUGGCUUACCAAGGCUUUGACGGGUAGCCGGCCUGGGAGGGUGACCGGCCACAUUGGGACUGAGAUGCGGCCCAGACUCCUACGGGAGGCAGCGGUGGGGAAUAUUGCACAAUGGGCGGAAGCCUGAUGCAGCAACGCCGCGUGCGGGAUGACGGCCUUCGGGUUGUAAACCGCUUUCGCCUGUGACGAAGCGUGAGUGACGGUAAUGGGUAAAGAAGCACCGGCUAACUACGUG
rnacentral:rRNA from 1 species